rnacentral:rRNA from 1 species
ACGGGAGGCAGCAGUAGGGAAUAUUGGACAAUGGGGGAAACCCUGAUCCAGCGACGCCGCGUGAGUGAAGAAAUAUUUCGGUAUGUAAAGCUCUAUCAGCAGGGAAGAAAAUGACGGUACCUGACUAAGAAGCACCGGCUAAAUACGUGCCAGCAGCCGCGGUAAUACGUAUGGUGCAAGCGUUAUUCGGAUUUACUGGGUGUAAAGGGAGCGUAGACGGCAUGGCAAGUCUGAAGUGAAAUGCGGGGGCUUAACCCCUGAACUGCUUUGGAAACUGUUUAGCUAGAGUGCAGGAGAGGUAAGCGGAAUUCCUAGUGUAGCGGUGGAAUGCGUAGAUAUUAGGAGGAACACCAGUGGCGAAGGCGGCUUACUGGACUGUAACUGACGUUGAGGCUCGAAAGCGUGGGGAGCAAACAGGAUUAGAUACCCUGGUA